rnacentral:rRNA from 1 species
UACGUAGGGUGCGAGCGUUGUCCGGAAUUAUUGGGCGUAAAGGGUUCGCAGGCGGCCUUGUAAGUCAGAUGUGAAAGACAGCGGCUUAACCGUUGUAAGCAUUUGAAACUGCAGGGCUUGAGUACAGGAGAGGAAAGCGGAAUUCCUAGUGUAGCGGUGAAAUGCGUAGAUAUUAGGAGGAACACCAGUGGCGAAGGCGGCUUUCUGGACUGAUACUGACGCUGAGGAACGAAAGCGUGGGGAGCAAACAGGAUUAGAUACCCUGGUAGU